UUUCCUUGCUGAUGGAGAGGAAUAGUGUCACUCCCAUUUGACUCGGUAACCCGGCAGCUUCCUGUCUUAAACGCAGAGCUGGCGCGCAGGACACUCCUCCUGCAGACACUUAUUACACAAGUUCAGUUGCACCUCGUGCAAAACAGCCCUGAAAGCUCAGGCUUGAAGACGAAAUGUGGAGCCCAGGCUCCUUCGAUUGAAAACUUCGCUACGAGGACACUCUCCGCAGUCGCCGGCCAGAAAGGAUUUCGGAUCAAGAUCCGCAGAGUGCUCCAGCUGUCUCUUGGACGCCUCCACUGGAAGGCCGACGGGCACCUUCAAUUUCACGUGUUCACUUCAGAGCACCCCUGAGCCGGCUACCCCUGCUCCCCUGAUCUGCGCCUUCCCAGUUUCUCCCAGUCACCCAGCUGGCCACCGCGAAGGAGACAUCCCUGAUCCUUCAUUUUCUCUAGAGUCACCCCCUGUCCAUUAGCAAGGCCUGUUGGCUCUGCCUCCACAUCUGUUCCACAGCUCCCCCAUACUCCUCUGUCCUCCACUAGCCCCCAAGCCCUUUCCCCUGUGCCUGCAGGGUUGCAUGGCCUCCUAACCAGCUCUCCACCUCACACGUGUGCCCUGUGGUUCACUGUUCUCCAUACAACAGAGUAAGCUUCAGCUCAGACCUAUCCUUGGUCAAAACCAGUGGUUUCCACGUGCACUGAGAAUUAGACACAUUCUUACAAUGUCCUUCAAGGCACCAUGAAAUCCACCCACCACUUCCCUUACCUGAGGUUCUAAGUCUAGUUUUGCCAGUUCUUGAGCCUCCAAGCCAUGGCCACCUCAGGGGAGCUCUUUUCCUUUGGUCCUGGCUCUUUAUUCAUCUGGUACAUUCUUUCUGUGCAUCUUUGGGCACAGACUGUCCCCCAGAGAAAGGUCAUACGAUCUAAAAUGACUCCCUAAUCCAGUUGUGUUCCCCACAGCACUUACGGCUACUUGCAGUUGUAAAGGUGUUGGUGCGUUUUUUUAUUGGUCUCUCAUCUAGAACGUACCUUCUGGAGGGCAGGGCCUUGUCAUCUUCCUGGCUGUACCCUCAGUCCUGCUAAAGGGACUGGCAUACAGUAACAUGAAGCCAGUGCUCUCAGACUUUCUGGUCACAGGACUGCUUUAUGCUCUUAGGAAUUACUGAGCUCCCGAAAGAGCUUUUGUAUAUAGCAACAGAUAGAUUUAGACAUCUAUCCAGUGAUUUGCACAGUAUUAGAGAUUGAAAUGGUAAUGUUUUAAAUAUAUUGAUUAAUUGAUUCAUUUACAAUGACAAUAAAAACCCACUUCAUGUUUACUUAACAUA